rnacentral:rRNA from 1 species
CUCGUAGGCGGUUUGGUAAGUUGGAUGUGAAAUCUCCAGGCUCAACUUGGAGGGGUCAUUCGAUACUGCCAUGACUAGAGUUCGGUAGGGGAGUGUGGAAUUCCUGGUGGAGCGGUGAAAUGCGCAGAUAUCAGGAGGAACACCCGUAGCGAAGGCGGCACUCUGGCCGGAACUGACGCCGAGGAGCGAAAGCGUGGGAGCGAACA